GAAAUCCUGAAGUCAAGGAGACGACUCAGAAUCCGGGGCCGUCCUGGGAUUUGAUAGCCCCUGCUUCGAUCUGAGCAGGACCUGCAGUCUUGUGUCUGAGCUCACGCGUAAGGUUAGGAGGAACCAUUCAUUGGCCAAGUGGUGUCCCCCACCCCUGGGGAGGAGGAGCACAAUUUCUUUCAAGGACUUUUCUGGGUACCCGGGGUGGGGAGUGAAGAAGGAGUCUCUGGAGGCAAAAGGGACAUUGAGAGGCCUGAGCAAAUGACACUGGCUUUGCUUGAAUCUGGAAGGCCAGGCGGAGGAAAAAGAACUUCUGUUGCCGGGCGCGGUGGCUCAUGCCUGUAACCCCAGCACUUUGGGAGGCCGAGGAGGCGGGAGAAUCACUCGAAGUCAGGAGUUCAAGAUCAUCCUGGCCAACAUGGCGAAACUCUCUACUACAAUACAAAAAUUAGCCGGGCGUGAUGGCAGGUGCCUGUAAUCCCAGCUAUUUGGGAGACUGAGGCAGGUGAAUCGCUUGAACCCAGGAGGCGGUGAUUGUAGUCAGCCCAGAUUGCACCACUACACUCCAGUCUGGGCGGUCCGCAUUGUUUUCUGCCCAGAAUCCCCAUUGCCCUCUCCUCCGGCUGAUGGCAAAACUUCCGCCACCCAGCUGACCUCCAUCCACCAACACCUGAGAGGCCCUCGGGUGACCUGAAGCGAGGCCGUCCUGGCCGCUCCUGCAGGGACAGUCCCCGAUGCAGGAAGGCAGUUUGCAGAAGCGUCAGUGCUGUCCGGUGGGGAAGGAAGGCUCCGACGUCUGCCCUUCUUCAUACACCGGGCUCCGCUCGCUUCCAGGAGGAGAGAAGCGUGUCACCACUCAACCAAAUUUACUUCCGUGGUGGAUUCCGAUUUUAUUGAACAUAAUGAGGUUUCUUUCUGUGGUCCGACCCACCACCUUCAUAUUUCCGGAAGAAGGAACAUGAAACGAAAAGAAAAAAGCCCUUACAACAUCAUAGGAGUUUCUCUGCCAGCACAUUGUGCUUGCAUCCUAAAGAAGCCAGACAGCAGAGUUAACAGAUCAGUUAAGAAUGGGUUCCAUGAAGAAGAAAAGAGAAAAAAGAUAAGAGAAGUCAUUGCCAGGAUGAUUCAUGUUGGGAAUAGGAUGCCAAGCCCUGACUACCAGGUAAGCAGGAAACACCAUGGAAUGCCAGGGAGGGAGGAAGAGGGGUCUCCUGUAGGCAGGAAGGAAAGCUUCAUAAAGAAAUUGCAUCCUAACCGGGUGUAGUGGCUCACGCCUGUAAUCCCAGCACUUUGGGAGGCCGAGUUGGGCGGAUCACAAGGUCAGGAGUUUCAAGACCGGCCUGACCAAUAUGGUGAAACCCCGUCUCUACUAAAAACAUAAAAAUUGGCUGGGCAUGGUGGUGCGUGCCUAUAGUCCCAGCUACUUGGGAGGCUGAGGGAGGAGAAUCACUGGGACCUGAGAGGCGGAGGUUGCAGUGAGCCAAGAUCACGCCACUGCACUCCAGUGGCCUAGGCGACAGAGCAAGACUGUAUCACCCCCCCACCCAAAAAAAAAAAAAGAAAGCAAUUGCAUUCUGUUUAUAAUACUUCCAGGGACAGGUUAAUUUUUUCUUUCCAUGUAGCUAUGCUUGAUGGCCUGCACCACUGUCUUACCUUAACCUAUCUUAUUAAUUUGACUUAAGGGAUUUUUUUUAAAAAAAGACAGUUUUAUUGAAAUAGAAUGUGCACAUAAUAAACUGCAGAUAUUUACAUCAUACAAUAAGUUAGAUACCUGUGGGAUUAUCACCACCAUCGAGACAAUAAACAUAUCUGCCACCUGUAAAAGUUCCUUCGGCCUCUGUGUUC
rnacentral:lncRNA from 1 species